GUGGGGAAUAUUGGACAAUGGGGGGAACCCUGAUCCAGCCAUGCCGCGUGUGUGAAGAAGGCCUUUUGGUUGUAAAGCACUUUAAGCGAGGAGGAGGCUACCGAGAUUAAUACUCUUGGAUAGUGGACGUUACUCGCAGAAUAAGCACCGGCUAACUCUGUGCUAGCAGCCGCGGUAAUACAGAGGGUGCAAGCGUUAAUCGGAUUUACUGGGCGUAAAGCGCGCGUAGGUGGCCAAUUAAGUCAAAUGUGUAAUCCCCGAGCUUAACUUGGGAAUUGCAUUCGAUACUGGUUGGCUAGAGUAUGGGAGAGGAUGGUAGAAUUCCAGGUGUAGCGGUGAAAUGCGUAGAGAUCUGGAGGAAUACCGAUGGCGAAGGCAGCCAUCUGGCCUAAUACUGACACUGAGGUGCGAAAGCAUGGGGAGCAAACAGGAUUAGAUACCCGAGUAGUCC
rnacentral:rRNA from 1 species